CCCCAAGUUCCUGCUUUUCUUGUUUGUUCUUUCUGCUCUGCUUGCCUGUAGACAUUAGAAAACUGUGAAGGUAAAAUUUUCACAGGGAAAAUUGCAUCACAGAGCUGUUGAAGUUGUACGUAAAAUUUUUCUAUUGAGACACUUCAUUUGCAAAUGGAGAAAGGCUGUUGCUCUUUCAAGAUUGAUGAAUUUCACCAUGGGUUGCCAUCAUCCUUACUCUUCCUAAUCUGAUAACAGAUUUUUCAAAUGUAAUGUAUUUAUUUUAUGGGUUUCACAAGAUGUACCUUUAGUACAUCCAGAUUUUCAUAACCCAUCAAACAUUUUGCAGUGUGUGUUGUGGCAGGAUAUUUUAGAACUGCCAAGAGAAGUAAAUUCACAUAGCUGCCUGCAGUGCACAAACUGUAACAAAUUAGCAUAAGUAGCAUGUUUUUAGAAGGAAUGACUUUUACAAGGUAAACAGAAACAUACUUUGGUUUGUCUUUAUAUCAUGAACAGAAAUCCACCUAGCAUAUAACUAAUAUUUAAGCACAUAUCAACCUAUGUAAAGGGUGCUACUUAUUCUAAAGAUAUUAGAAUAUUUUUUGGUAAAAUGGAGUUGGAGGAUCUAGGUGGUACAGUGGUUAGAGUGCUGGGUCUGGAGUCAGGAAGAUCUAAGUUCAAAUCCAGACUUAGACAUUUGCUAGCUGGGUGACCCUGGGCAAGUUACUUAAUCUUUGCCUCAAUUUCCUCAUCUGUAAAAUGAGCUAACAUAGAAAAUGGCAAACCACUCCAUGGUCUUUGCCAAGAAAGCCCCAAAUGGGAUAAGAAGAGUCAGACAGGACUGAAAGCACAACAGAAAUGGAGUUAGUUAAUUCCUUAAAAUUAAAUGGAAAACAUGGUCAACAAAGCCCAUCUUUCCUAUUUCAGGUGUCUUUUUGUUUUUUUGUUUUAGUGAAUAUAGGGAGACUUUGGUUUAGAGUUCUGGUACUGCUUUUUUUUUUGCUGUGUGACCUUAGAUAAAGUGACUUCAUUGCUCUGGAUAUCAGUUCCUUCAUGUAUAAAUUGAAGAGACAGGACUAGAUAACCUGUAAGGAAGAUCCCAUCCUUUCUACAUUUAAGAUCUUCUUAUCAUCUAAUUGAAUUUCCAUUAAAACCCUACUCAGAUUUUUUGUUGUUGUUCAGUUGUGUCCAACUCUUCAUGACUCCAUUUUGGGUUUUCUUGACAAAGAAUUUUGUAGUAAAUGUAGUAAUUUGCUAUUUCUUUCUCUAGAUUAUUUUAUAGAUGAGAAAACUGAGGCAAACACAGUUAAGUGAUUUGUUCAGGGUCAUACAGCCAGUAAGUGUCUGGGACUGGAUUUGAACUCAGGUCUUCUGGACUUCAGACCCGACAUUCUGUCCACUGUGCCAAGCUAAUCAUAAACUACAGAAGAUCCUGGAUAAUUAAAAAUCUGUUACCCUAAAAAAGAACUACAUAUCCCGAGAGCCCACGGACUUCCUGUAGACAGAGGAUAAAGUCAGUGGGCGUUGAGGCUCUGCCUCUCCUCUUUGGCAUGAUGCAGUAAUCAGUGGUGAUGGUGGUAAGGUGAGGAUUUUGAAAAUGGCUAACCAGCCAUGGGCACGUGGUUUUUAUUUUAUAUCCUCUUUAUUCCUUGAUUUCUAAUGAUCAUUUUAAUAAACCUCCUAAAAUAUAAUAUUUUUAUCAUUUAAUUUUUAAUUUUUACACAGUGGAAAGCAAGGUUGGCUGGGUCCUACUGCUUUGGAACCAUGUAAGGUCCACUUAAGGAGACCACACAAGGACCAGUCCAGCUAAGUUAGGGAUUCCUCACAAGUUUUAGUCACUGAGUGAAUUCUUCUCCUGUAACAGCUCUCCAAAGCCAUGUAUCAAAUUGUAGAGUAUUUGUUAUCAGUGAAGGGAAUAUCCACAAUGACGAAAUCACAAGCCUUUGAUGCAUAUCAAAUAGAAACUUUCCAUUUGUGUCCUAUCUUUUAAAGCCUUAUACAAAUGUUGGGCAUUAAGAACCCUCAUAUAAAUGGACUAGUUCAAAUGAACAUGAAAAACUAACCCAAGACCAAAUUAUUCUCUUCCAUGUUGACGAGAAGUUCAAGAGAAGCAUGUUCUAUACAUGUACCCUAAAAACCUGAACUGUAGGCCAUUGGAAGGAACUGGGCCAUAAGGAUGAAACUCCUCACAAUUUAUGAAGGCGUUUUCAGUAGCAGAGCUAUUAUUUUGUUCCCUAGCUCCACAAUAUAAAAUUGCCUUUGAUUGAUAGUCACAUGAGAAUGAGAAUUUUCAACCAUUUCAAUGAUGGUUUGGAGAGCCCAAAGGAUCAUUUCAGCCAAAGCCCCACCCUAAAGCAAAUCAAUAAUCAAAUGCACAGAAAGUUGUAGAUGUAUGUUUCAUUCAUUACAUCUGCCGUAGAAUCAUGUGAUAAUAGAAAAAUUGUAUAUGUAGCAUUGUUGUCUGACGUAAAUUCAUAGAUGGUGAUUUGUUUGAGGACAGGGAUUUUGUCUUCUAACACAUCAUUCGUCUUUGUAUUGCUGCCAGCAGGGACCCAGUUGAAGUUCAAUGAGUGCACAUUUGUCAAUCAAUGAACAUUUAUUAAAGAGCAGCUACUAUGUGCCAGGCACCGUGGUAAGUACUGGUAAUACAAAGGUGAAAAAUCACCCUUGCCAUUAAGGAGCUCACAAUAUAAUAUGAAGGAGACAGAAUACAGGCAACCACCUACAAACAAGCUAGAGAUAUAGAAUAGCUCAGAAAUAAUAGAGGGAAGAUGCUAGGACUAAGAGGGAUUGGGAAUGGCUUUCUGUAGAAGCUGGGAUUUUAGCUGGAACAUAGUAAAUGACUAAAAACUGUUAAAUGAAUCAAUAGGUGAUAUAUUUGUGAUCAGAAUACUUUUUUUAAACUCUUACCUCCUGUCUUAGAAUCAAUACUGUGUAUUGACUCCAAGGCAGAAGAGUGGGUAAGGGCUAGGCAAUGGGGGUUAAGGGACUUGCCCAGAGUCACACAGCUAGGAAGUGUCUGAGGCCAGAUUUGAACCCAGGACCUCCCAAUCUCUAGGCCUGGCACCACUGAGCUACCCAGAUGCCCCCCAGAAUACUUUUUUCUUAACUGCUCUGAUAUAGAUUUAAUCAUAUCCGUUCCCCUUUUCAAUUAUAAUCUCCCUGAGAAUGGGAACCAUUCAUUCUAUCCUUUUAUCUUCCUAUAGCUCCUAAUGUAGCAUCAACUAACUAUAUAUUGAUUGACCUGUAUCAUUCAGAUGGAUUGCAUUGUUUAGUGUAGCCCAUUUAUUCCAUUCCAUUUUAUGGAGCAGUAUUGGAAAGGACAAUAGUUUAGAUUUAGAAUACUGGCUCCUAAAGUAUGAUCAGGGACUCCGUAAAGGUCCCCCAAGGCCUUUUAAAAGAAUUUUGGGGUUCAAAACUAUUUUCAUAGAAAUACUAAGACAUUUGACUAUUAAAAUAUUCUUCCGUUUACCAACUUCAUAUCUGUGUGAGGCUUUUUUUCUUCAUAUUCUUUGAUUAAAACAACAUCACACCAGAUUGAAUGCAGAAGCUGCCUCCAGCUGACUUUUAUCAAGCUAGACAUUAAAGAGAUUGCAGAAAUAUGUAAAACAAUGCCAUUUUAAUCAGUAAUGUUUUUAUUUUAUUUGGGGAAAUAUACUUUUCAUAAAAAUAAAUUGAUAUUGAUAUCUAGUUAUUAUUUUAAGUGAAUAAAUAUUUUUAAUUUUAUCCGUUUUAAUUUCUAAAGCAAUAAAUAUCAAUAGAUAUAACUGACAAAUAAAAAUUCUCUCAGUUCCUCUAUGCUUUUUAAGGGAGUAAAGGGAUUCUGAGACCCAAAAGUUCAAGAACCAGUGUUCUAGAAGGUUCAUGUAAUCUCCUUUGGGAUAAAAAGGUUUAGAAUAGAAGAAUAGCAGUUAACUUGAGUUUCAAGGAGAAAUCAAAAGAAAAAUAAAGGUCACCGGUCACUAACUCCAAUCAAAUAUAUUACCGUUCCAAACCUGGGUGCCUGGCUUCAUGUUCUGAAGCCUCACCUUUGCUAGCUGAACUUCUCGGUCUUCACUGAGCAGCCAUUGGAGCUAUCGGAUCUCCCUCCCAACACUCAUGCUUCCUUUUUCAGCUUCACCAUUUUCAUUUGAUUUUCCUCUUCCUGAGAAAUGUUGGGAUCCACCUUUCUAGACCUUCAGCCAAGGUUCUUUGAAUUUGCAUUUCCAAGGACAGUGUGAACACUGGACUCAGAACGUGAUGGUCCAGAUCUGAGUACUACCUCUGUUUGGUGUCUAGCUUGUGACCUUGGGUGCCUGAGCCGUUUGCUGAUCUUGACAGUGUGACUGGCUGCUGUCUCUGAUUUCUGAGGUGAGGAAUCCCACUUGGGGUAUAAAUUACUGGGCCUUUGUGCCCUGUGGACCCUGGUCUAGCACUGCCCAUGUCUACUGUUCUCCUAUUUUGCUCUUUCUUCCCAAACAAAAAUGGAAAAGACCAGGAAAACGGGUUCUCAUGUUCAUAAUGAUUACAAAAAUGUAAAUGGGGAAAAAACCCGAUUGCACAGAAUUGAAUACUAUAUAAUCGUACUAAGCAUGGCCCUAUAAAAAGGUUGGAUAUGUCUCUUUGGGAUUGGAACUUUUUAUAUAUUAGCAAAUGCUGUAUUGAUUAGCUUUCUGAACUGAUUUUCUCGCUUAAAAAUUACUUUUAAAAAAUCUCUUAUCUUCUGUCUUUGAUUGAUAUUAAGUAUCAUUUCUAAGGAAGAACAGAGGUAAGGGCUAGCUAGACAAUUAGAGUUAAAUGACUUGCCCAGGGUCACAUAGCUAGAAAGUAGAAAACCAGAUUAGAGCCCAGGACCUCCUGUCUCCAGUCCCUACUCUCUAUCCACUGAGCCACCUAGCUCCCCACCACCCCUCUUACUUUUUUCUUCAACCUUUACUUUCCAUCUUAGAAUCAAUUUUGCAUAUUGGUUCCAAGGCAUAAGAGUGGUCAGGGCUAGGCGAUAGGGUUAAAUGAUUUGCCCAAGUUCAUGAGGCUACGAAGUAUCUGAAGCCAGAUGUGAACCCAGGACCUUCUGUCUCCAGGCUGCCUCCUUCUCCCCAUCCCACCUCCAUUAUUUUUUUAUACUUUGUUGUGAAGGAUGGGAACUGUAUAGGGAAGGAGGAGGAAUACAUUCAGAAAUCAAACUGCUUUAAAAUAAAUACUUUUAAAAACCAAUCUAAGGAACUGGAUCUAUAAAUUCACUUUAGUUACUAGGCAAAGCUUCAUUCAGCAGACGCACAAAUGUUGUCAUAGUCCGGAUAUUCACCUGAAAAUAUUGGUCUCCUCUGACAGAUAAAGUACAUGCAUAAUUUUCAUCCAGCGAAUUACAUAUUUGCAACAUCACUGGCAUCAGCAAGAGUAUCCCACCUACAAUUACCCUCCAGGUUCCGGUAGCACUUUGGAAGGGAGCCAGUACACUGUCUGUCCUUGAUGUCAUCUGCUUUUAUUUCAACAUGUCGGGUCCUGGCACUGGUCUUCUAGACAUAAGCUUUCUGAUGACCAAUGGUAUGGACCAAGUGCAGAAUUCCCCUUAAGAUGAUUGGGUACAAGCUGUGGCAUGCAAGAUUACAGAUACUCCUGGACAGAUCUCCUGUUCUUCCUUCAUAGAUGAUCCUGGACCCAUUUCUGGAAGUUCUUGGAAGGGCCACCCCAGAGCAAUUUCUGGAGGGUAAGAACUUUUCUAGGAUGCUCAGCAAAGAGAUCUGGGGCUGGAGGAGAGUCUAGGAGCAGAAGGCUUUUGACCCAGGACUUACUGAAGCUAUCUCUUCUCCCUGCCUUACCUUGAUACUCCAGGAAGGGCAGAGGGAUGUGGACAUGGGGAGUGAAUGAGAAACAUAGGUGGUGGGGAUGAGAUCAGCCUUAACAUGCAUUCAGUGACUAGAGAUAAAAGUCACUGAGGAGGAAAGGGCCAUGCAUGACUGAAGGAGGAGAGUAUCAGAGAGUGAAGAAUUUAAUCCAUCCAGUUUCUAAGAGAAAAAAGAAGAGGCAUGGUUAGCCACAGGCAAGGACUCAAAGCAAAGGAAUGCAUCCUUAAUCCCCUUGCCCCGUCCUACUUGAACUUCUUGCCUAUAUCUUGCUAGUUCCUUUCCAUACCAGUAGUACCCCUUACCCACUGCUUUCACACUUUCCAUCCACUAGUUGUUUGUCUCAUGAAUCCCAGACCUUCGAAGUCUAAUCUAUACCUUCUAUGAAGAGGAGCAGUUCCUACUGCAAUUGCCAAGGGACUGUCAUGUCCUAAGCAGAAUUCUAGAGCCUCGAUAUAUAAUCUUGUCCUAGAUCCUAAAACACCCAGAUGGUGAGAAACAGAGCCAGAAGCUGAGUGAGCUAAGGACAAAGAGUCACAGACGAUAGAUAGUAAGCCAAGGUGACAUAGAAUAACCACUCCGUAGCGGGAGAGGGAUGAAAUAGAGUAAAUCUGAUGCUUCCCCUUUGCUGGGGUCCUACUCAAACAAUUAAGUCAUACAAUUGUAUGAAUCUCUGUGGGGAAAAAUAGCCUCACUGGAGGUUUGAUUAUGGCUUCCUACAGAUUGAACAGUGCAUCUCUUAUAGCCAUUAUAUUGUAAAUAAGACUGUCAUAUUUGGCUCCUUCUAAUCUUGGUUGCAUUGGUUUUGUUUGUAUAAAACCAUUUUAAUUUAAUAUAAUCAAAAUAACUCAUUUUAGAUAUUGUAAAGUCCUCUGUCUCUUGUUUGGUCAUAUAUUCUUCCCUUCUCCAUAGAUCAGACAGGUAAACUAUUUUAUGUUCUCCUAAUUUACUUAUAAUGUCACUCUUUAUGUUUAAAUCAUAUACCCAUUUUGACCUUGGUAUAUAUAGGGUAUGAGAUGCGGAUCUAACCCUAAUUUCUCCCAUACUGUUUUCCAGUUUUCCCAGCAGUUUUUGUCAAAUAGCGAGUUCUUAUCCCCAAAGCUGGGAUCUUUGGGUUUAUCAAGCACUAGAUUGCUGAGGUCAUUUACCCCUAGUCUAUUGGAUGGAUCCACCCUUCUAUCUCUUAGUAACAGAUUGUUUUGAUGAUUAUUGCUUUAUAGUACAGUUUAAGAUCUGGCACUGCUAGGUCUUUAUCCUUCACUUUUUUUUAUUAGUUCCCUUAAUAUUCUUGAUCUUUUUUCUUCCAGAUGAAUUUUGUUAUUAUUUUUCUAGUUCUAUAAAAUGGUUUUUUGGGAGUGAAUUAAUUUAGGUUGGAUUGUCAUUUUCAUUAUAUUAGCUCAUCCUACCCAUGAGCAAUUAAUGUUUUUCCAAUUGUUUAGAUCUAACUUUAUUUGUGUGGAAAUGGUUUUGUAAUUGUGUUCAUAGAAUUCCUGAGUUUGUCUCAGCAAAUAGAUUCCCAGGUAUUUGAAGACUGUUACAUUUGAGAAAUGUCUUUAUACUGGCUGGCUCCCUUCCCUAGAAUGCACUGACUCCUCACCUCCAUCUCUUAGUUUCCUUGACUUUUUUCAAGAAGAGGUUUAUGGGGGGUAGCACAGUGGAGAGAGUGCCAGGCCUGGAUUUGGGAGGCCUUGGCUUUCAAUCUGGCCUCUGCCAUGUCCUAGUCCUUAAUAAAUGCUUGUGGACUGACUGGAAUCUUGCACUUUUGGACUUUCACAGAGAAUAAGAUCCUUACCCUUGGGUGAACAGCAGAUACUGACCAUCCCUGCUCACACUUGGGCUGAGAUACUGAGCUCAGAUUUGAGGGGUCUCCAAAGAGUACACAACACCGUGGUGUCAAGAGAAGGCCUCUAACCCUUGGGUUACAAAUACUCAUGGUGGCAUCUUCACAGAUUAUUAGAACAAAGCACUUUGUCAAGCCGGAAAGUGCUCCACUAUAGAUGUUUUGCCUUAAAACACUUCUAAGUCUUCCCUGAAGCCAUCAUGUUUGAAAUUAUGGAGGAAAGAGUGCCUCUGUACUGUUGUGCUUGGUCCCAAAGAGCAGAGGAAGAUUUCAACUUAAUACAAGGAAAAAACUACCCAAAAGUGAGCACUGUCCAAAAAUGGAAUGGAUUGCUUUUGAUGGGAGUGGGUUUCCAGUCAUUGUACUCAAAGGCGGGUGAAUGACUUGUCCAGUGUGCUGUCCUUUUCAAGUCUAAGCUGGGGUAGAUAACUUUUUCUGUCCCUUCCAACCCUGAGAGGCCGUGAAAUGUGUGCUGCUAUUACUGUGUCUAAAAAAAAAUUAAAGGGAACAUUGGGCCAAACUAAAAGUGACUACUUAUUACUAUGACUGAAAAAAGAAUUAAUGAAAAGGGAACAAGGUUAUGACACCUUGUAAUUUCACUUCUUUUGGAAAGACCCUGAUCGUAUUACUGUAAUUGUCUUCAUUGAGAGGUUGGCAAUCAGUGCCUUCUUCUGUAAACUGAAGCUGUUGGUCUGAAUAAAUUCUCGGGUCCUGUCUAGUGCAAAAAUUCCAAGAUUUUGCAGGGCUAGGCUCCAGAAGUCCAGAGAGAGUACAAUAUAUGGGGUAUUUGUCCGGAAAAGAGUGAAAAAUAGCAUCCAGUGUGUCAGAAAAAAAUUAUAAUUAUUUUAUUUUUUUUAAACCCUUACCUUCCGUCUUGGAGUCAAUACUGUGUAUUGGCUCCAAGGCAGAAGAGUGGUAAGGGCUAGGCAAUGGGGGUCAAGUGACUUGCCCAGGGUCACACAGCUGGGAAGUGUCUGAGGCCAGAUUUGAACCUAGGACCUCCCAUCUCUCGGCCUGGCUCUCAAUCUACUAAACUACCCAGCUGCCCCCAUAAUUAUUUUAUUUUAAUCAAAUAGGUUUAAGAACUAUUUUAAGGGGGAAAAUAUUUGUUCCUAAUUUAAUCCAUCCUCUUGUUUCUAAAAUCUGGUCAAUUAUUUUGUCCCAUUAACUCUUUUUACACUGAAAUCAAACUACCAUUAGUCUUUGUUUAUCAUUGCUAACAUGAUUUAUUUUGUUUUAUGUAUUUAUUUUUUUAAUAACCCUUACCUUCCAUCUUGGAGUCAAUAUUGUGUAUUGGCUCCAAGGCAGAAGAGUGGUAAGGGCUAGGCAAUGGGGGCUCAGUGACUUGCCCAGGGUCACACAGCUGGGAAAUGUCUGAGGUCAGAUUUGAAUCUAGGACCUCCCGUCUCUAAGGCUGAGUCUCAAUCCAGCUACCUCUUCCUCAUGAUUUAUUUUAAAUAAGCAAUCAGAGGUUUUUCUUAGCCUUUAAAAGUUCUCUAUUCUAUUCUAAAUGAAUGAAUUAAAUAAAAAUUUCCAAAUUAAAAAAAAAAUAAAAUCUGGUACUGCUAGGCAAAAAAAAAAAGUUCUCUAUUCUUUGCAUAUUUUCACUUUUCAUUUACGCAAUCAGGAUUCCACCUGGUAUUGUAAUAGUCUUGUUCUGAGGGCGACAGAUAAGGAAUCCUCUUUCAUUUUUACUUCCCUUUUCUGCAGGAGUUUGUGGCGCCAUCUUGAAACCCAAAGAUUUCUCCAAAUGUUGGAAAUGCUGAGGAUUCAAAAUGAAGUUUAGCUGCUAGAUAUGGUGUGAUCUCAUCAGAGAACAGUGGCCUUGUCGCCUUCCUCCUUCUGAACACUAGGCUUUAAUGAAUACAGUCUGAAAUCUGCAAGGCAAUCAGAGUGUGGGCUGGGAGGUGAGAGAGUAAAAGGGCAAAGACUCUUUGUUUCCACUGUGUGACUGGCACAUAGGAGUUGUUGACUGAAUUCUCAUAGACUGACUUGUGCUGCAAUGAAUAUCGAGCCAGUUUUGGAGUCAGGAGUCAACACCCCUCCUGGGAUGAUUCGCCCAACACCCUUUAGUAAAACUAGAUGGAAAGGAUGAUGGGAUUUUUCAUACACAAGGCUGCCAAAGUCAUAGGCAGCCUUGACUUUCCCAUCAAGCAACUACUGCAGAGAGGUCCAAUCAGGGAGUCAAGCUAUGGUUCAAAGCUAGUUAGGGAGGCUUUCUCCUCUUUCCUGGAAUUGCAUCCUGGUUAAAGGGGGUUUAGAGGCCAUACCCCUUCUUUAUCAGGUAUUAGGAAGACGUGACUGCCAGCGAGGGAGAAGUAGUGGGCAUUUUAAGGGAUCCAUGCACCCGUCUCCUGCAAAGGAACAUAACUGUUUUGAUUAAGUUCUCCCACGAGGUUGCCUUUUCCCACUGCACAAGUAGUGGUCCACACCAAUACUAUCAUUGUCAGGCUCACCCAUGGGAGUUAGGAGGUCAAGCAGCACAAAUGAUUUCACAGCUAUUGUCUUCGCAAUAGCAGGCUGAAGUACUUUGGACCUCUUUAAACAACAGAUUAAAAAAUUAAAAAACCUUACAAAUAUGACACAACAUCAUUUUAAAAUAAAGAGUAUUCUUCAACAUCUUGGCAAAUAUUCUCAAGAUCGGAAAGACCAAAUGGAUACUGUUCCCCCAGGGGGUCAAGGACCAGAGACUUACCUCUUCCUAAUGGAAAAAAAUAAAAUAGAAUAAAGUAAACAGCCUAUGGAUCUCCACUGCAGCUGGGUAGACUGCAUAUGGAAUUUUGCAUGCUCCUCAAAAGUUCCUUGGGGGGUUGCAACACUUCCCAGAAGCUCCUUCCAACACUUUGGAGCCUGCAUCUGUGGGCAUAUGCACAGCCAGAAGUUGACAGAUGUUUGAGCAGCUAUUCACACUCUGCAUAAGCCUUCUUCAAAGAUAGAAUAUAGGAAGGCAGAAAAGGAAUUGGGUUGAACUGGAUUUUGAAAAUUUGUUAGAAGGGGGAGGGGUGCAGAACUCUCUUUAUAACUGCAGAAUACAGAGGAGAAUUGGGAAGGAUACCCCAGGUCAGUCUAUCAAGUGGUCAUCGCUCCCUACAUUGUCCAUUUGCAAUCACUAAUGGUCCUACAAAAGUCUUUGCUAUAGUUGAAGGCCAUCAACUUGCAACCUUUUAAAUUUGGUUCACUUUUCCAUUCAUUACAAUAAAGAAACUUUUUUCCCCAAGUUUCUGUCAUUAGAAAUAGCUAAAUUGGGUUGUAAAGAGAGCACAGGGUCUGGAGUCAAGAAGACUUGCAUUCAUUUCCAACAUCAGACACUCAGAAGAGCUGGUGACCCUGGGAACGCCUUUUAACCUCUGUUUGCCUCAGUUUCCUCAUCUAUAAAAUGGAGACAAUAAUAUCCCCUACCUCUCAAGGCUAUAAUAAUUGUGAAGCAUUCAGGAUAGUGCUUCACACAUACCAUAGCAGGCACACAUAAAUGUUAGCUAAUUUUAUUUUUAUUAAUGCAUUGAAAACAAAUUAUUCCCAUUUUAUAAAUAAAGAAACUGAGAUGCUGAAUAUAAUCAUUUGCCCAAGGUCAUUUGGUGAGUCAGUGGUAAAGCCUCAGUCAGAAAGAACUCAAAGUUCUUGGCAGUGGUGGUUCAGAAAACCUUGCUGCUUUCCAAACUACCUUAAAAUCAAACCUUCAGGAAUAUUGACAAAGAGAUUGAAUCGGGCAUAUUUAUCUAUAAAUGGUGAUUUCAUAACUUCAUAUACUACUGAUGUUGAUUUGUUGAAUAAAAGCCUACAAGAAUUCAUUUUCUACAUGUUCCCCCUAAAAGGGAAUGUUCCCUCAUUUUUCACUGAAGAUAAUAAAAUAGCUCUUGGGAAGGCCUUCAAAUUACAGUACAGUCAUCUUUGAUUUCUAUAUAAAAAUAUGAUUUUGGUCCUUCCAGUCUUGGUAAGGAAGUUGAUUAGAAAUGAUGAUGUUUGAGACAUCUCAUCUGAUAUCUAUAGAAAGUUUAGUCUAUAUGACAGAUUCCUGGACAAGUUAAAAUAGAAGGUAUUUUGAAAAGAGCCUACUUUUCUUCCAUUUUACUUCUAUUAUGAAAAAUGAAUAUACAACGCAGACUCAAGUACUUUUUAAAGUUUAUUGAUUAUAUGAAAUCAUUUCUGUUCCCUUAGGGGACCAUCUUAAAAGUCCUAUAUCCUGGGAAUCCUAUUUAUUUUAUUUUUAAAAUUCAAUGCACAAAUCGAGGUAGAAUUCAAUGUAUUUGAGUGGUUGUGGGUAACUACUUUAUAAAAUUCAUGCAUUUUCUCAUAGACAUUACCUGGGGAAAUUGAAUGUGCAAAGAUUCCCCAGUACACAAUGAAUUCCUGUGACUCCUAUAGAAAAGUGAUUCAUCUAAAAACAACGUGGGUGGGCAGUUGAGGAAUAACCAAACAAUCUAUGGUAUAUGUAUGUCAUGGAACACUAUUUUGCCAUGAGAUGACUUAAAGGGAUUCAUACAGAGCAAAGAAAGUAGAACCAGGAGAAAAAUGUAUACAAUGAUAGGAAUAUAAAUGAAGACAAGCCAAAAGCAUUUAAGUCAACAAGCAUUUGUCAGGUGUCUACUAUGGGCCAGGCACACUAUAUGUUCUUGUUUAAUAAUCAUAUUUUAUUUCCCCCAAAUUACAUGAAAAAAACAUUUUAAUGUUCAUUUAAAAAACUUUAAAGUUCCAAAUUCCCUUCCUCUCUCCUGUCCUUUGAGGCAGUAAGCAAUCUGAUAUAGAUUUUUCACAUGUGCAAUCAUGUAAAACAUUUUUCCAUAUUAGCCAUUUUUUUAACCCUUACCUUCUUCCUUAGAAUCAAUACUAGGCAUUAGUUCCAAAGCAGAAGAAUGGUAAGGGCUAGGCAAUGAGGUUAAAUGACUUGCCCAGGGUCCCACAGCUAGGAAAUGUCUGAGGUCACAUUUGAAUCUAGGACCUUCAGUCUCUAGAUCUGGCUCUCAAUCCACUGAGCCACCUAUUAGUCAUUUUGUGGAAGAGAUUUCAAAUAAAAAAAAAGAAGAAAGUGAAACAGUAUAUAUCUGUCUGUAUUCAGACUCCAUCAGUUCUUUCUCUAAGGGAAGGCAGCAUUUUUCACAAAAAGUCUCUACAAUUGUCUUAGGUCACUGUGUUGAUGAGAAUAACUUGGGCAUUCAAGGUUAUUCAUCAAAAAAAUAUAUUGCUGUCCCUAUGUACAAUGUUUUUCUGGUUCUGUUUACUUCACUUCGCAUCAGUUUAUAUAAAUCUUCCCAGAUUUUUCUGAAAUCAUCCCAUCUGUCAUUUCUUAUAGCACAAUGGUAUUCCAUCAUAAUCAUAUACCACAAUUCCUUUAGCCAUUCCCUGAUUGAUGAACCACCCAGCAAUUUCCAAUUCUUUGCUCCCAUAAAAAGAGCUGCAUUAAUUAUUUUUGUACAAAUAGGUCCUUUUCCCUUUUUUAAAAUCAUUUUGGGAUGCUGAGUCCCAUGGUAUGUUAAGUGCUAAGACAACACUAAAAGACCAGCAGAAUUCAGAUCCAGUUCAGUGGCCAAUGUUGGUUCCAGAGAAUUGAUAUUGGAAUACCCCUAUUUCUUCCUUGUAGAGAGGUGAAGCACUAAAGGUCGAAGUCUUCUUUAAUCACUGUUUUAGUUAAAACAGUUUUACUUGCAUUUUUAUUUUUCAAGUAAAGGAGAAUAUUAUUGGAGGGAGGGAUGCUAAGAAAGGAUUUUGGUGAAAAAAAAAGUACCAA